rnacentral:rRNA from 1 species
UACGAAGGUCCCGAGCGUUAUCCGGAUUUAUUGGGUUUAAAGGGUGCGUAGGCGGGUUAUUAAGUCAGUGGUGAAAGCCUUCAGCUUAACUGAAGAACUGCCAUUGAUACUGAUGAUCUUGAGUAUGAUUGAGGUGGGCGGAAUGUGUCACGUAGCGGUGAAAUGCUUAGAUAUGACACAGAACACCGAUUGCGAAGGCAGCUCACUAAGCCAUAACUGACGCUGAUGCACGAAAGCGUGGGGAGCAAACAGG